rnacentral:rRNA from 1 species
AUUGAACGCUGGCGGCAGGCCUAACACAUGCAAGUCGAGCGGAUGAAGGUAGCUUGCUACCUGAUUCAGCGGCGGACGGGUGAGUAAUGCCUAGGAAUCUGCCUGGUAGUGGGGGACAACGUUUCGAAAGGAACGCUAAUACCGCAUACGUCCUACGGGAGAAAGUGGGGGAUCUUCGGACCUCACGCUAUCAGAUGAGCCUAGGUACGAUUAGCUAGUUGGUGAGGUAAAGGCUCACCAAGGCGACGAUCGUUAACUGGUCUGAGAGGAUGAUCAGUCAUACUGGAACUGAGACACGGUCCAGACUCCUACGGGAGGCAGCAGUGGGGAAUAUUGGACAAUGGGCGAAAGCCUGAUCCAGCCAUGCCGCGUGUGUGAAGAAGGUCUUCGGAUUGUAAAGCACUUUAAGUUGGGAGGAAGGGCAGUAAGUUAAUACCUUGCUGUUUUGACGUUACCGACAGAAUAAGCACCGGCUAACUUCGUGCCAGCAGCCGCCGUAAUAC